rnacentral:lncRNA from 1 species
UGCUCUCUUCACUGAUAAUUUUUGAGUUUUGUGUAUUUGUAGGUCAGACAUCUCGGUUUUCAUGGUCAUCAUACAACAGAUCAAUACUGAACAGAAAACUUAAAGUUGAUAUUUUUCUUCAUAGUGCGACUUUUUUUUAUUAAUUUGAAAUGGAACGUGUUUUUUCCUACAUUUAUUAGAAAGGGGAAAUUUCAACAUAAUGACUAUAAACAAAUAGGAGUCAUAUCAUCACGAUCAUAGAUGCACAAGAACUUGAUCAUAUAAAUGCAACAAUGUAAUUAUCAAUUGAAAGAAGGAACGAAUGAACAAAAUAUUAGUAUGUUGUCCAAAUAAACUUGCUUUGUCUUCUCAUUUGAAUUGCUCCAUCCAAUAAAGAUGUACGAGGAAGAUCUUUGAAGAACAGAUUGAAAAAAUGUUUUGUCUAAGAAUUGCAGGAAUAUUCUGGUGGAUGAAAUAAUUUAUUGACUUGACUCUUAUAUAGUGGACUGAAUAAUUGUACAUAGCAAGUUGGGGGAAAAGAAAACAAAAACUUUAACAGAAAGUGUUUAUAUUAUAAAUUUGCAAAUAUAAGCAUACCAUUAUGUACACCUCAAAGGUAUAUAAUUCAAAUUGUUUGCAUAUUCAUGUAUUGCAAUGAAACUAUAACAAAGAAAACCUUACCUCGUGAAAAGAGUAAACAAUUCAGUCAGAAUAUGAAAUAUUUUUUUCAGUUCUAUUUUUCAUAGUAGAAUAAACAAGACAAAGAUUUCAAAACAAUAUUUUUUCAUUUAU